rnacentral:rRNA from 1 species
GAUGAACGCUGGCGGCGUGCCUAAUACAUGCAAGUCGAGCGAACAGACGAGGAGCUUGCUCCUCUGACGUUAGCGGCGGACGGGUGAGUAACACGUGGAUAACCUACCUAUAAGACUGGGAUAACUUCGGGAAACCGGAGCUAAUACCGGAUAAUAUAUUGAACCGCAUGGUUCAAUAGUGAAAGACGGUUUUGCCGUCACUUAUAGAUGGAUCCGCGCCGCAUUAGCUAGUUGGUAAGGUAACGGCUUACCAAGGCGACGAUGCGUAGCCGACCUGAGAGGGUGAUCGGCCACACUGGAACUGAGACACGGUCCAGACUCCUACGGGAGGCAGCAGUAGGGAAUCUUCCGCAAUGGGCGAAAGCCUGACGGAGCAACGCCGCGUGAGUGAUGAAGGUCUUCGGAUCGUAAAACUCUGUUAUUAGGGAAGAACAAAUGUGUAAGUAACUAUGCACGUCCUGACGGUACCUAAUCAGAAAGCCACGGCUAACUACGUG